rnacentral:rRNA from 1 species
GACGAACGCUGGCGGCGUGCUUAACACAUGCAAGUCGAACGGAAAGGCCCAGCCUUUGUGGGGUGCUCGAGUGGCGAACGGGUGAGUAACACGUGAGUAACCUGCCCUUGACUUUGGGAUAACUUCAGGAAACUGGGGCUAAUACCGGAUAGGAGCUCCUGCUGCAUGGUGGGGGUUGGAAAGUUUCGGCGGUUGGGGAUGGACUCGCGGCUUAUCAGCUUGUUGGUGGGGUAGUGGCUUACCAAGGCUUUGACGGGUAGCCGGCCUGAGAGGGUGACCGGCCACAUUGGGACUGAGAUACGGCCCAGACUCCUACGGGAGGCAGCAGUGGGGAAUAUUGCACAAUGGGCGGAAGCCUGAUGCAGCAACGCCGCGUGCGGGAUGACGGCCUUCGGGUUGUAAACCGCUUUCGCCUGUGACGAAGCGUGAGUGACGGUAAUGGGUAAAGAAGCACCGGCUAACUACGUG